rnacentral:rRNA from 1 species
UGGCCUUUUGGGGAUUUAUAUAAAAGGUUGGGCCUGCCCGGUGAUCUGAAAUGGUUUAACGGCUGCGAUUGAAACCGUACUAAGGUAGCAUAAUAAUUUGCCCUUUAAUUGGGGGAGAGAAUGAAUGGUUUGACGGUAAAAAAGCUGUUUUAAAAAUAAAAAAAGAAGUUAACUUUUAAGUGAAAAGGCUUAAGUUUUUAUAAAAGACGAGAAGACCCCGUCGAGCUUAAUUAGAAUAACUUAAAUGUAGAUUAUUUAAAAUUUUAUUGGGGCAAUAGAAAAUGAAAUGAAUCAUUUUUUUUAUUAUAGGGAUCCAGUUUUGACUGAAAAAAGCAAAAGCUACCGCGGGGAUAACAGGGUAAUUUUUUCUGAGAGUUCAUAUUUAAGAAGAAGUUUGCUACCUCGAUGUUGGAUUAGAAUUUCUUUAUGCUUGCAGCAGGUAUAAUAGUAGGACUGUUCGUCCUUUAAAAUUUUA